UAUCCACAGACACUGCGUAAGCGAACGGGUCUUUCUCUUUCAAGGAAGUUUACUUCCAUCCUUUUUCAAUAGGAAAAAUUAGAAAAGGUGGUGUAGGUUAAGUUCUACAUACCAGCUAUCAAGAAAAUGCCGCGAGAAAUUACAGAAAUUAAAGACUUCCUUUUGAAAGCGAGGCGAAAGGAUGCCAAAUGUG